rnacentral:rRNA from 1 species
AUUGAACGCUGGCGGCAGGCCUAACACAUGCAAGUCGAGCGGAUGAAGGGAGCUUGCUCCUGGAUUCAGCGGCGGACGGGUGAGUAAUGCCUAGGAAUCUGCCUGGUAGUGGGGGAUAACGUCCGGAAACGGGCGCUAAUACCGCAUACGUCCUGAGGGAGAAAGUGGGGGAUCUUCGGACCUCACGCUAUCAGAUGAGCCUAGGUCGGAUUAGCUAGUUGGUGGGGUAAAGGCCUACCAAGGCGACGAUCCGUAACUGGUCUGAGAGGAUGAUCAGUCACACUGGAAGGGAGACACGGUCCAGACCCCUAGGGGAGGCAGCAGUGGGGAAUAUUGGAAAAGGGGCGAAAGCCGGAUCCAGCCAUGCCGCGUGUGUGAAGAAGGUCUUCGGAUUGAAAAGCACUUUAAGUUGGGAGGAAGGGCAGUAAGUUAAUACCUUGCUGUUUUGGCGUUACCAACAGAAUAAGCACCGGCUAACUUCG